GACAGAGGCCUCAAGCGUUAGGCGGAAUCACUGGGCUUAAAGCGUGUGUAGGCGGAUCGUUAAGUGUCUUGUGAAAUCCCACGGCUCACCCGUGGAACUGCUGGGCAUACUGGCGAUCUUGGGCCAACUAGGGGCAACUGGAACAAGCGGUGGAGCGGUGAAAUGCGUAGAUAUCGCUUGGAACGCCGAAGGUGAAAACAGGUUGCUGGGGUUGUGCCGACGCUGAGACACGAAAGCCAGGGAGCAAACGGG
rnacentral:rRNA from 1 species